rnacentral:rRNA from 1 species
AAUAUUAGUCAAUGCUCGAAAGAGUGACUAGCUACUGAAUCAAUAAUAAAAAAUUGAUAACAUAAGGGAAAAUAAUGAUAUUACCUUAUUAUUAGUGUCGUCCAAAACUGGUGCCAGAAGACUCGGUAAGGCCAGAGACAUAAACGUUAAUCGUCUUAAUCAGGCGUAAAGGGUUUGUAGGCGGCUUUAAAAUUUACUAAAAAAUAAAUAAAAUAAUAAGUAAAGAAUAAAAGCUAGAAUCAAAUAGAGGAUAUAUGAAAGAAUGCUUAGAGUAGGUCUGAUAUCCUUAGAUACUAAGUAGAAUAUUAAAGGCGAAAGCUUUUUUCCAUUAAUGAUUGACGCUCAGAAACGAAGGUGAGGAUAGGAAAUAGGAUUAGAUACCCAGAAUACCCCUCUCUGUCAACGAUGAAUGGUAGUUAUUAGUAAAAAUUUAUUAAUGGCAAUGUUAACACGAUAACCAUUCCGCCUUGUGAGUACAACUGCAAAGUUGAAAACAAAAAAAUUAGUCGGUUUCGGAGCAAACGAAGUGAAGCAUGUUAUUUAAUUCAAUAAUCCGCAAA